UGGUUCUGGCAUCGAUGAAGAACGCAGCGAAAUGCGAUAAGUAAUGCGAAUUGCAGAUUUCAGUGAGUCAUCGAAUCUUUGAACGCACAUUGCGCCCGCCGGCAUUCCGGCGGGCAUGCCUGUUCGAGCGUCAUUUCAACCCUCAAGAUCUCCUCUUUAGUGAGUGCAGAACUUGGUGUUGGGGGAUUGCAGCUUUCUCGCAACCCCUGAAAACUAGUGGCGGUUCCGCCCGUGGCAAUCAUUGCGUAGUAGCACAAACAACUCGCAACUGAGGCCCGGCGGUAGUCCUUUGCCGUAAAAACGACAGUGAAGUAGUAGGAUUCUAUUCUUCUGCUAAGCUCUCAAUCUUUUUAUGAGUUGACCUCGAAUCAGGUAGGAAUACCCGCUGA
rnacentral:misc_RNA from 1 species